CCUACGGGAGGCAGCAGUGAGGAAUAUUGGUCAAUGGGCGCGAGCCUGAACCAGCCAAGUAGCGUGAAGGAUGAAUGCCCUCCGGUUUGUAAACUUCUUUUAUAAAGGCAUAAAGUGAGACGCGUGUUGCUUUUUGUAUGUACGUUAUGAAUAAGGAACCGCUAACUCCGUUCCAGCAGCCGCGGUAAUACGGCGGAUCCGAGCGUUAUCCGGAUUUAUUGGGUGUAAAGGGAGCGUAGAUGGGUUGGUAAGUCAGUUGUGAAAGUUUGCGGCUCAACCGGUAAAUUGCAAUUGAUACUGGCAGUCUUGAGUACAGGUGAGGCAGGCGGAAUUCGUGGUGUAGCGGUGAAAUGCUUAGAUAUCACGAAGAACUCCGAUGGCGAAGGCAGCUUACUAAACUGCCACUGACACUGAUGCGCGAAAGUGUGGGUAGCAAACAGGAUUAGAUACCCCAGUAGUC
rnacentral:rRNA from 1 species